rnacentral:misc_RNA from 1 species
GUGAAUCAUCGAAUCUUUGAACGCAAAUUGCACUUUCUGGUAUUCCGGAAAGUAUGCCUGUUUGAGGGUCAGUUAAAUAAAAAUCUGUGUUGUUGCGGCCUUUCGUGGUGACGCUGCGGAAUUGGGUCUUCUUUCCUUCGGUUAAGUGACUUAAAAUUUUUCAUGAUUUUCGAACGUAUUUAAAUGUCUUACGUACGUUUGAGAUAUCUAAGACUGUAUUAGUUGCGGUCUUCCUCAUGAUUGGCACCUAUAAUUUUUCAUUAACUGACCUCAAAUCAGGUAAGAAUACCCGCUGAGCUUA